AUUCGGGCUAGUGUAAAUAGCACAUAAAAUUUUCACUUUUAUAGAGGAGGGUUAUUCCGCCCGGAUA
rnacentral:tRNA from 1 species